GCUGCCGCAAAACCGGCAGCCGGGCGUAGGAACCCGAGCGAAACAAAGGUGACACCAGACGCGCCAUGCGUCUUUUUU
rfam:Plautia stali symbiont DNA, complete genome.